rnacentral:lncRNA from 1 species
UUAUGCCACCUUUCCUUCCUCUCCUUCCUUCUCCUCUAUUCAUUCUUCGUCCAAUGCUUCCAAGGUAUUCUCUUCACUUCAUUCUUUCCCUUUUUUUCCUCGCUUAGGUUUUACGGGAUCGCCGUUGCCAAUUUCCGUUUCACCAUUUGCUUGUCGGGUUUCCUGAAGGUACAGGAUCUAGCCGGCAGUCCUCGAGGUUAUACCUCCAUGAGUAGCAUCAACAAACAAAAUCCGGAUCCCGAUCGCAGACCAGGUAGAUUUUGGGGUACUCUCGCGCGAAAAGCUAAAUCAAUUAUCGACGAGGUUGCUGAAAAUGGAGAUCAGCGACAACAGCAACAGCACUCUCACUCUCCUGCGGAUCCUAAGCCACGUUCUG